rnacentral:lncRNA from 7 species
UGAUUCCAGCCAGGGUUUCAGCAGUACUACUUCUGCUGGAGUGGGCAUCAGCAGCUUCUCUCCUCACAGGUGCUGACACGCUUCACCAGCACCCAGAACAAAACUGUGCAAGCAAGAGCCUUGAACAGGGUCUGGAAACUCAGCUAUUUCGUCACCAGAGGUUUCUGGCAGGAGGUAAGGAGUCAGGAACAUUCCAGCCAAGCUAUCUCCCCCUCCCUGCAUUCCAGAGCAGCCUACCUGCAAGACAAGCUUGGGCACAGGUGGGAGGCUUCGGCAUGCAUUUACCCCUGAAGUUCGAGGGUCUUUGUCCUUCCUUUUCCUCUGGUCCUCCCACCCCCCACCCUGUUCUCUCACUCAGUUUGACAUGUCUUCCCGCCAUUCCUUCUUUCUCGCCGUAGUCAUUUGCAAAAUUCGUCCCGCCUUCUCAGAGGACAAACAUCAUCUGCAUGACCCUUGAGGCCAUUGGAGAGUGCAGCGCUGAGGACAGGGAGUGGGCCAGCUUGAUGCUGGAUGUGGUUCUACGGGACCCUGUCAGCUGGAUGAUGGAUGUGCCAGAGAUUCUGGAGUUCAUCUGGAGAAACCUGGGAAGCAACAGCACAUCCCUACAGCCGACCCUCUACACAGUGCUGGAUGUGCUGACCAACCAGUUUCCCAGGGAUGUGCUGAUAAGCGUGCUGACUGACCUUCCACACAGUGACAGCACCACGAUGGACAUCUGGAAGAGAAUGCUUUCCCUGGCAGAAAAUUCAGAGGUCAUCUUGGAUGUACUGUGCAGCGUUCUCCAGGACCAAGAGCUGUGUGGGAUUUUUAACGUCACCCCAGCGGAGUUGGGCCUCCUUCGGCUGACUGUGAGUUAGCAGACAAGGCACC